GACGAACGCUGGCGGCGUGCUUAACACAUGCAAGUCGAACGGUAAGGCCCUUCGGGGUACACGAGUGGCGAACGGGUGAGUAACACGUGGGUGAUCUGCCCUGCACUUCGGGAUAAGCCUGGGAAACUGGGUCUAAUACCGGAUAGGACCCUGGGAUGCAUGUCCUGGGGUGGAAAGCUUUUGCGGUGUGGGAUGGGCCCGCGGCCUAUCAGCUUGUUGGUGGGGCGAUGGCCUACCAAGGCGACGACGGGUAGCCGGCCUGAGAGGGUGACCGGCCACACUGGGACUGAGAUACGGCCCAGACUCUUACGGGAGGCAGCAGUGGGGAAUAUUGCACUAUGGGCGCAAGCCUGAUGCAGCGACGCCGCGUGAGGGAUGACGGCCUUCGGGUUGUAAACCUCUUUCAGCACCGACGAAGCGCAAGUGACGGUAGGUGCAGAAGAAGGACCGGCCAACUACGUGCCAGCAGCCGCGGUAA
rnacentral:rRNA from 1 species